UGCCUAUUGGCCCAGUGGUCAAGGCGUCUGACUGUUAUCUUAAAAACAGAAACAUCAGAAGAUCCCUGGUUCGACCCCAGGAUAGGCAG